rnacentral:misc_RNA from 1 species
GAUGAAGAACGUAGCGAAAUGCGAUAAGUAAUGUGAAUUGCAGAAUUCAGUGAAUCAUCGAAUCUUUGAACGCACCUUGCGCUCCUUGGCAUUCCGAGGAGCAUGCCUGUUUGAGUGUCAUUAAAUUCUCAAGACCUGUCUGCUUUUUUGAUAGGUAUUGGAUUUUGGGGGUUGCAGGCUGUUUCAAAUAAAUAGCCUAGCUCUCCUUGAAUGUAUUAGUGGAGAAAAGCCAUUGAACUCCAUUGGUGUGAUAAAACCUAUCAAUGCCAGGAGCAAUAUCACUACUUCUCUCUGCUGUCUAACUGUGACUGUCUGUAUUAAUUAGUAUGGAUGGGGACAACUUGACCAACUUGACCUCAAAUCAGGUAGGACUACCCGCUGAACUUAAGCAUAUCAAUAAGCGGAGGA